rfam:Oryza glumipatula chromosome 8, whole genome shotgun sequence.
AAAAAGACAAACACUAUGUUUCUGUUUCCAACGUUUGACUAUUCGUCUUAUAUAAUUUUUUUUAUAAUUAGUAUUUUCAUUGUUGGUAGAUGAUAAAAUAUGAUUAAUACUUUACGUGUGACUUGUCUUUUUUUUCAUAAUUUUUUUAAAUAAGACAGACAGUCAAACGCUGGACACGGAAACCAGGGUUUGUCUUUUU